rnacentral:rRNA from 1 species
CCUACGGGUGGCAGCAGUGAGGAAUAUUGGUCAAUGGGCGCGAGCCUGAACCAGCCAAGUAGCGUGAAGGAUGACUGCCCUACGGGUUGUAAACUUCUUUUAUCAAGGAAUAAAGUGAGGCACGUGUGCCUUUUUGUAUGUACUUUAUGAAUAAGGAUCGGCUAACUCCGUGCCAGCAGCCGCGGUAAUACGGAGGAUCCGAGCGUUAUCCGGAUUUAUUGGGUUUAAAGGGUGCGUAGGCGGAAGGUUAAGUCAGCGGUAAAAUGUCGGUGCUCAACACCGGCCUGCCGUUGAAACUGGUCGUCUUGAGUGAGCGAGAGGUAUGCGGAAUGCGUGGUGUAGCGGUGAAAUGCAUAGAUAUCACGCAGAACUCCGAUUGCGAAGGCAGCAUACCGGCGCUCAACUGACGCUGAGGCACGAAAGCGUGGGGAUCGAACAGGAUUAGAUACCCUGGUAGUC